UAUUUUUCUCAUCCCCAGUCAUUCAUUUUUUUAUUUUUUUUUAAGUAUCUCUCUGUUUUUGUAGCAUUGGUUGAAAGUAGCGAUGAAGAGAAAUACCUAUAUUGCGAUUGCAGCAGAUCUUGCUGCUCUUUGAAUUAGAUCGAAGGACCUAUAGACGAGAGGCGAUUAUUAAAAUGCCGAUUCAGUCAAGUUUACCUUCGGAGAUAGAUAUUAAUGUUCUGAAUUUUGAUCGCCGAACCGGAUCUGUUUAUUCGGGUUAGGUUCUCCAUAUCUUCAGAUAUUACACACAUUUGUUAAUUAAUACUGUAUAGAAAUUUGAUAGGCGAAGGUUCCCAGCGGGGAGGAAGCGGUCUCGAACGACACCUCUCUAACACUAAAUUUAAACCUUCGCACACCGAUUGCGGCCAUCUUAAACGGCGCUUCUGGAAAUUUUAAUUUUGGAUGCGUUUUGAACCCUUUUGGCUAUAUUUUUAUUCUAUCCCCAAUUUUCAUUUUCAGAUGAGCUGUGCAAUGAUGCUUCCUCUAAUUUUAGUUCAUUUUAAAUGUCAUUGAUUGAUUUCCUGCCAAGUGGAUUCGAAUUUUGAAUUUAAAAAAUCUUUAAAUAUUUGCUCCUCUUUUCUUUUCAAUUCAUUCUUCGUUCAAUUUCUACAUCUUUUUAUGGAGAAUAAGUCGAUUAUGGAGAACUCUACAGCUAGUGCUUCGCGGCUUCCAUCCAACUCAUGUCUUGAUAGAAUUUCCGAGGCUGUUGACAGCAUCAAUCAUAAUAUAAUUGCCCGAGAUUACUUCAAACUGCUGGCUAAAGAUAAGUCGGUGAUGAGCGAGGCCGCCCUUGAACUCCACAACUUCAUGUUGACCGUACUUAAGAUGAAGCUCGCUGAGAAGCUUAGGUUGAACGAUGAAUAAGUACUUUUUUCAAAUGCUUUUUUCUUUUGAUCUUCGUGUUUUUAAUGAAUCAAUAAUGCGUUAUGUUA